rnacentral:rRNA from 1 species
GAUCAUGGCUCAGGAUGAGCGCUGGCGGCGUGCCUAAUACAUGCAAGUCGAACGCUUCACUUCGGUGAAGAGUGGCGAACGGGUGAGUAAUACAUAAGUAACCUGGCAUCUACUAGGGGGAUAACUGAUGGAAACGUCAGCUAAGACCGCAUAGGUGUAGAGAUCGCAUAAACUCUAUAUGAAAAGUGCUACGGGACUGGUAGAUGAUGGACUUAUGGCGCAUUAG